AAAUAGAACCUGAAACCAUGCGCUUACAAGCGGUCGGAGUCCUUAGGGAUGACGGCGUGCCUUUUGCAUAAUGAGCCUACGAGUUACUCCUCACUGGCAAGGUUAACCCCGUAAACGGGGGGAGCCGCAGCGAAAGCAAGUCUGAAUAGGGCGUAUAGUCAGUGGGGGUAGACGCGAAACCUUGUGAUCUACCCAUGACCAGGAUGAAGUGACGGUAACACGUCAUGGAGGUCCGAACUGGUGGACGUUGAAAAGUCCUCGGAUGAGUUGUGGGUAGGGGUGAAAGGCUAAUCAAACUGGGAAAUAGCUCGUACUCCCCGAAAUGUUUUUAGGAACAGCGUCGAGGUAGAGUGUCAUAGAGGUAGAGCUACUAAAUUGGGCUAGGGGGCUUCACCGCCUACCAAACCCAGAUAAACUCCGAAUGCUAAUGACAUAUACUCGGCAGUGAGCCCUUGGGUGCUAAGGUCCGAGGGCGAAAGGGAAGAACCCAGACCAUCAGCUAAGGUCCCCAAAAUCUGUGCUAAGUUGUUAAAACGUGGUCCGAUUGCAUUGACAG
rnacentral:rRNA from 1 species